UACAGAGGGUGCGAGCGUUAAUCGGAAUUACUGGGCUUAAAGAGUUCGUAGGCGGCAUUGCAAGUAGGGUGUGAAAGCCCUCGGCUCAACCGAGGAAUUGCGCUCUAAACUGCAGUGCUCGAGGAACCUAGAGGUGAGCAGAACAGAUGGUGGAGCGGUGAAAUGCGUUGAUAUCAUCUGGAAUGACCGGAGGCGAAGGCGGCGUUCACUGGGGGGUUUUCUGACGCUGAGGAACGAAAGCCAGGGUGAGCGAACCGGG
rnacentral:rRNA from 1 species